rnacentral:rRNA from 1 species
AGCAGCCGCGGUAAUUCCAGCUCCAAUAGCGUAUAUUAAAGUUGUUGCAGUUAAAAAGCUCGUAGUUGAAUUUCGGGAUCAAUAUAUUGGUCGUGCCUUCGGUAUGCACUGGUAUUAUUGAUUUCUACCUUCUGACGAACUAUGAUGUCAUUAAUUUGGUGUCAUGGGGAAUCAGGACUGUUACUUUGAAAAAUUAGAGUGUUUAAAGCAGGCACACGCUUGAAUACAUUAGCAUGGAAUAAUGAAAUAGGACGUUUGACCCUAUUUUGUUGGUUUCUAGGAUCGACGUAAUGAUUAAUAGGGGUAGUUGGGGGCAUUAGUAUUCAAUUGUCAGAGGUGAAAUUCUUGGAUUUAUUGAAGACUAACUACUGCGAAAGCAUUUGCCAAGGAUGUUUUCAUUAAUCAAGAACGAAAGUUAGGGGAUCGAAGACGAUCAGAUACCGUCGUAGUCUUAACCAUAAACUAUGCCGACUAGGGAUCGGAUGAUGUUAAUUUUAAUGACUCAUUCGGUCG